GACAGAGGGUGCAAACGUUGUUCGGAUUUACUGGGCGUAAAGCGUGUGUAGGCGGCUUGGCAAGUUGGAUGUGAAAGCCCACGGCUCAACCGUGGAAGCGCACCCAAAACUGCUUCGCUCGAGUCUCGGAGAGGAAGGUGGAAUGCUUGGUGUAGAGGUGAAAUUCGUAGAUAUUCGGAAGAACACCAGUGGCGAAGGCGGCUCACUGGCCCGGUACUGACGCUCAGGUGCGAAAGCGUGGGGAGCAAACAGG
rnacentral:rRNA from 1 species